GUGUCUUGUCAGCACAGACACCAAAGGAUCCACAGCACAAGGACUCUACGACAUUGGAGCCUGAUGUUAUGGCAGUCAAAAUUCCAGGAGAAUCAGAAAACAAUGAUACCAGCAGAUCAGAACAUGUUGGCGAUGUUACUGCUUAUGAUCAGCCACAC